GGUUAUCGAACUUGUUGUCUAGGG
rnacentral:siRNA from 1 species